rnacentral:rRNA from 1 species
CCUACGGGGGGCUGCAGUGGGGAAUAUUGCACAAUGGGCGCAAGCCUGAUGCAGCCAUGCCGCGUGUGUGAAGAAGGCCUUCGGGUUGUAAAGCACUUUCAGCGGGGAGGAAGGCGGUGAGGUUAAUAACCUCAUCGAUUGACGUUACCCGCAGAAGAAGCACCGGCUAACUCCGCGCCAGCAGCCGCGGUAAUACGGAGGGUGCAAGCGUUAAUCGGAAUUACUGGGCGUAAAGCGCACGCAGGCGGUCUGUCAAGUCGGAUGUGAAAUCCCCGGGCUCAACCUGGGAACUGCAUUCGAAACUGGCAGGCUAGAGUCUUGUAGAGGGGGGUAGAAUUCCAGGUGUAGCGGUGAAAUGCGUAGAGAUCUGGAGGAAUACCGGUGGCGAAGGCGGCCCCCUGGACAAAGACUGACGCUCAGGUGCGAAAGCGUGGGGAGCAAACAGGAUUAGAUACCCGAGUAGUC